rnacentral:rRNA from 1 species
AACGAACGCUGGCGGCAUGCCUAACACAUGCAAGUCGAACGAAGCCUUCGGGCUUAGUGGCGCACGGGUGCGUAACGCGUGGGAAUCUGCCCUUGGGUUCGGAAUAACAGUUAGAAAUGACUGCUAAUACCGGAUGAUGUCUUCGGACCAAAGAUUUAUCGCCCAAGGAUGAGCCCGCGUAGGAUUAGGUAGUUGGUGGGGUAAUGGCCCACCAAGCCAACGAUCCUUAGCUGGUCCGAGAGGAUGAUCAGCCACACUGGGAUUGAGACACGGCCCAGACUCCUACGGGAGGCAGCAGUGGGGAAUAUUGGACAAUGGGCGAAAGCCUGAUCCAGCAAUGCCGCGUGAGUGAUGAAGGCCUUAGGGUUGUAAAGCUCUUUUACCAGGGAUGAUAAUGACAGUACCUGGAGAAUAAGCUCCGGCUAACUCCGUGCCAGCCGCCGCAGUAACAC